CGCACGGUGAGUAACACGUAUCCAACCUGCCGUCUACUCUUGGACAGCCUUCUGAAAGGAAGAUUAAUACAAGAUGGCAUCAUGAGUCCGCAUGUUCACAUGAUUAAAGGUAUUCCGGUAGACGAUGGGGAUGCGUUCCAUUAGAUAGUAGGCGGGGUAACGGCCCACCUAGUCUUCGAUGGAUAGGGGUUCUGAGAGGAAGGUCCCCCACAUUGGAACUGAGACACGGUCCAAACUCCUACGGGAGGCAGCAUG
rnacentral:rRNA from 1 species